GCCUGCAGCAGGGCUCUCCGAUUCUGGAAGCUGGCGUCCCUUGCUGGGGCUUCAAUGACUCCACUAGGAGCCAGUCUCCUGAGGCCUUCCCCUGAGGGCUUGGACCUCUGACUGAUUCUCUGAAACAGGAGCCCAGGAGAGGGCCACAUGAGAAAAAAAAAUACUCUAUGGAAAAUGACUGUUGUCACAGCAAAGGAAAUGUAAUGGACCUCUGAAUUGGGGGAAGAAAAAUCUUUGCAGUGGUGCCUAUUGGAAAUGACACUCAGAAUAAGCAUCUUUUCUUUUUUUCCGUUGAAAUAAAGUUCAAGAGCUUGAAGUGUUUUGAAAGAAAAUGGUGCAUUAAAAAUAUGGGCAUAUCUUAAAUGAAUAUUCUUGGACUGUUCUCCAAUAUUCAACAUUGUAAAGCCCACAGGAAAAUUGGAAGACAUGUCAAAUGAAGGUAAGAAAGUGAAAGUAAAUCAUGUGAAGACGAGAUACAUUGGAAUAAAGGAUCCAUUAAUGGAUUGACUGACUCAAUGCAGUCUAGGACUGGCUGACUCUGCUAUGUAAGGCAUUGGGCAAGAGAUGAUUGGUCAGGUAGUAAAGUCACGUUCUUCAGAAAAGUCUCUCUUCACAGGCUCUUCUCAAAUUGGAGAAAAAAAUUAGAAGCAUAAUCAACAUCCUUAUUUAGCAUGAUAAUUACUGGCUAGUUAUUCAAAAGAACCUAAUCAGGUAAGAGUUUAUCAUAAGCAUAUUUAUUCAGCUAUUAUUCUAUCACUAUGGUUGUUUAUUAAGGCAGUCUUCUCAGUAUAUUUAAUAACGUCUAUGUAUACAUAAGGGCAUUGGUUUUCGUGAGCUUAUUUCUUUACAUAAGAAAAGCUUUCAUAGAAAAUGUAUAUGUGUUCACCAGAGAUUAAUACAUUAUGUUGUGACUGUUUCAGAGAAAAGUCCAUUCCAAUCAGUAGUCCUAUUAAUACAGAUAUUAUGCUCAAAAAAUUUCAGAAAAGAGAUUUUAUCUACUUGUUUAAUUUAUUACAGCUUUACUGAGGUAUAAUUGACAUUCAACAAGCUGUGUGUAUUUAAAGUAUGAUAUCUGAUACAUUUUGCAUAUAUAUACACCCCUGAAGCCAUCACCCCAUUCAAUAUAGUGAGUAUAUGCAUCACCCCCAAAGGUCUUCUCAUGCCCCUUUGUAAUCUAUCUUGACACCCCCCCCCCCACACACACACUCUUCUGCAGCAACCACUGCUGUUUUCUGUCACUAUAGUUCUGUCUGGCUUCUUUCACUGAGUAUAAUUAUUUUGAGAUUUGUCCAUGUUACUGCAUGUAUCAAUAGUACAUUCUCUCCUCUUGCUGUUAAGUAUUCCACCUUUGGAUGAGUGCACCUCACUUUGUUCCACUGUUUGAAGAGCAUUUUGGUUUCUAAUUUGGGGCUUUUGCAAAGAAAUUUCUAUAUUUUAAAUGUCUUGGUAUGGACAUAUGCUUCCAUUUUACAGGUUAAUGCCUAGGAGUAGAAUGUUGUAGUUUUUGAGAACAGACAGACUAUUUUCCAAAGUACCAUUUUACGUUGUGAAAGUGUAGGGUACCCCCAGCAGUAUGUGAGAGUUUCAGUUCCUUUACAUUCUCAAUAACACUUCCUAUGGUCCGUAGUUUUCAUGUUAGCCAUUUUAAUGAGUGUGUAGUUAUAGUUCAGUAGGAGUUCAGGUAAGUGAUCUUAAAGACUUCCUUGCUGGGGAAAUGGGAAGGUAACCACACAAAUUUAGUUUUCUUUUGCUUUCUUCCCUGCUCUAGAUAUUUCAAAUUGAACAUCUAUUUUCAAACCUUUUUCUCUGCCCUACCAUAGUCAAGAAAUUUCACUCACCUCUCCCCUUUGAUUCUUGGGGGCAAUCGUGUGCCCUUAAAGGAGCUACAACAAGAAUUAGAAGUGCCCUGGGGCAAGGUAAAAGGUGGCCCAUGUAAUCAAUCAUAUCUGCUUCAGUGAACUGUAAUGUCCCUGUGUACAGGAAAACAUCUUCAGUGAGGCAGACUUAUUUCCAUGAAGUCCUUAACAUUUGGGGGGAUAGAAAGCUGUUCCGACAUUUGCUUCUAUGAGGCUCAGUCAUAUCUACUCUUCUUGGGUGUGUAGUCAAUUGUAUUGUGCAGUUAUGGUAGCAUGUACAAAUGGAAGAAUAGGUAGAUCAGAAGACCACCUAUCUUUUUUUUUUUUUAAAUGCUAUUAAUAAUUCAGGCUAAGGAACAAGGUCAGUUGCAUAUUAUCCAACAUUACAAUAGCCAUUUAAAAAAUACCGAAUAGUGGCCACUGUCCUGGGUUUCAUUAAGAUUUAUUCCCCCCAAAUCAAGGAAAGUAAAUGGCUUGGAGAUAGACAUGUGACCUUGAGGAACCAUUUCCAAGAGACACAAAGGAAAACAACUUACUAGUGACAGCAUUAGGGAAAGUAGCUAUAACGUCACCAAAUAAUAAUUGUCAAAAAAACUGUUACAAAUCCCAAGUACAUGCAACUUUAUAGGGAAGUUGUUUUAUAAUCAGUUUUAUGUUUUCUGUUUUCAUUGAAGUUUAGAUAUGAACCUAGGAUUUUAUUUAGCUACUGAGAAGGUAAGAUUAAGUCUUUAAGAUACGUGCUCUUCUUUGUGCACAUUCCCAUAUGUCAUUACAAACUACUCUCAAACAACACACAGGAGAAAUGGGAAAAAUCUCUAGUCAAUCUCACCCUUCAGAAAAUUAUUCCUGAAUUAUAUGUGAUAUAGUGGACACCACAAACUCUAAGAGUCUGAUCUACAUCUAAGUAUCUACUUUUUUUUUUUUAAGGCCAUAGGUGCAGCCCAUGGCAGUUCUUAAGCUAGGGGUUGAAUCAGAGCUGCAGUUGCUGGUCUACACCACAGCCACAGCAAC